rnacentral:rRNA from 1 species
UCCUACGGGGGGCAGCAGUGAGGAAUAUUGGUCAAUGGCCGGAAGGCUGAACCGGCCAAGCCGCGUGAAGGACGAAGGUGCCAAGCAUUGUAAACUUCUUUUGUCAAGGGACAAAAUCAGGCUCGAGAGCCUGACCGAGGGUACUUGAAGAAAAAGCAUCGGCUAACUCCGUGCCAGCAGCCGCGGUAAUACGGAGGAUGCGAGCGUUAUCCGGAUUUAUUGGGUUUAAAGGGUGCGUAGGCGGACUGUUAAGUCAGCGGUAAAAGCCCGGGGCUCAACCCCGGCCCGCCGUUGAACCUGGCAGU